GUACCACUGAGCUAAAGCUCAUUGGUGAAUAUCACAUGCAACUACGAAAGUAAUUAUGAGUGGUUAACAUGAGAUAUGUGAUGCUGUUGUUUGGUGUAAAUGAAUUCCAUAUCUAAGGGUCCAUUUGGAUAACCUUGUGUUUGAAAUGAAUGUGGAUUUAGACGUAAGUUUCAAGUGAAAAAUCAUAUUAACUCACAUAAUGUCAAACUCAAAUAUCUAUUCAUUUCAAAUCCUCUUCUAUCCAAACGUAUUCAUUUAUAAAUUCACACUUAACAUUCUAAUUGUGCACAAAUCUCAUUUAAAUUAUGUAUCUUUAAUUCUGUAGAAUUUGUUAUACUGAGCCAAUUCAUGACAGAAUUGGCAAAUAAAUUCUACCAUAGAAA
rnacentral:misc_RNA from 1 species